ACAACUCGCUGACCUUCGGGCCGACCAGCUCCGGCUUCCACCGACUCCGCACGCCGCCCCAGCCCUGCAGCGGCUUCUAAGAUUUCACUCCGCGCUGGGCUGGGGGAGGGGGUGGCUUCUCCGGGAGGGGGUGUCUCCGAUCGAAAAAGGGCCACUUCACGCUCCUUCCCUUCCUCCGAAGGACCACCCGGUGCAGCUUGCUUCGGAGUGGCAACCCUCGCCAGCUGUGAGGUCACAUCUCAAGGAAGGCCGCCGUCCACUCCAACGGACAGCCCUGUGAUGCCGGUCAGUGGGACCACAUCUGUGAUUUGGAGAGCUGCCACUGGUACUCCAUGCCGACUGCCACUUCCUGUGGCCCAAGAGGAUGAGAUUAAAAAACAUUCUUCGAUUUGGAUGGGCCAAUAGAAUGUAUUUUGGUACCACACUGUUAUCCCCACCCCACCCCCCUGGGUUUUCUAAACCUCCCCAGUUGUCCCUUCUGUGUCACUAAUCCAGUAAUCUGAAAUGAGGACAAAUUUCACUUUGGAUCACCUGAAAGUAAACUUUCCAGUCUGAUACAUCCAA